GACGAACGCUGGCGGCGUGCUUAACACAUGCAAGUCGAACGGAAAGGCCCUGGUGUUGUGGGGUGCUCGAGUGGCGAACGGGGGAGGAACAAGUGAUUAACCUGCCCUUGACUUUGGGAUAACUUCAGGAAACUGGGGCUAAUAACGGAUAGGAGCUCCUGCUGCAUGGUGGGGGUUGGAAAGUUGCGGCUGUGGGGGAUGGACGCGCGGCUUAUCAGCUUGUUGGUGGGGUAGUUGUUUACCAAGUCUUUGACGGGUAGCCGGCCUGAGAGGGUGACCGGCCACAUUGGGACUGAGAUACGGCACAGAAUCCUACGGGAGGCAGCAGUGGGGAAUAUUGCACAAUGGGCGGAAGUCUGAUGCAGAAACGCCGCGUGCGGGAUGAAGGCCUUCGGGUUGUAAACAGCUUUAGCAUGUGACGAAGCGUGAGUGACGGUAAUGGGUAAAGAAGCAACGGCUAACUACGUG
rnacentral:rRNA from 1 species